UAUUGGAAUAAUUAUUAGCGCCAUUUACUUUCGUACUUCUUAUGUUGCGCAGUAAAAUAUUCGUUGUCGAAGUAAUCCAAAACAGGCGUAUGUUCGUGGAAUGGCCCAUACAAGAUUUUAAGAGAGGCCAUUUACUGUUCAAUUUGCGUUCAUUUUCAAAUUUGCCGCGCGAAUAUCUAUGUAGCGUCGCGUGGUCAUUGGUCAUCACAUUUCAUAUAAUUUCAUUUUCGUAAGAUAACCGAUAACCUAAAAAUUUAGUAAAAAUUUUGAUUGGAAAAAAAUGCAUCGAUAAGGGGGUGUGGGAAAUGGAAAUUAGUGGCUUUUUUGCUGUACUGUGUGCUAGUUUUUGCUCUGGGCUCUGGCUGGAUCUCUUGUUUAAACAAUUUUAAUCAGCUGAAAGUGGUCUACAAAAAAAAAACAAGAAGGAAAUGUAUAGCCUUGUGGCUAUGAAAGGCAAAAGAGAGAUAUAAAAAGUGUAUUGGCUAGUUGGAAGAAAGUCCACAUUGUCCAUGCAUAAUAAGUUAUUACUUUAUCAACAAAUAUCAAGAAGAUAGCAGGAAGUCACGAGCAACACGAGCAAUUGAACAACUUCAUAAGUUCAAGAAUAUCGAGGAAAUCCAGCUCCUCGAUACUACUGGGCAAACUAGAAGAUUGAAGAGGACAAAGCCUUUUGAACUAGUUUGAGUGAUAGGUGAUAGUGAAAAACGGAGCAUAGUGCUUGUGUGCUGUGCCUGUGUAUGUUAGAAUAGUGCACGAUCUUGUUAGAUUAGAUCAGCGACGCUAUGGGGUAAGCUCUUCAUUUUAAGAAACAGUAGUCAUUUAGGUUAAAUUAAAAUUGCUCCUUGGUCAGUUAUGACCAGAUUGUUUUUUUAUGUUUGGCAAAAAGGACUUAAGUCAGAAUUGCACAUUGAUAAUGUUUUGAUGAUUUCUGGACCAGAAAAAAACUGUUGUAGAUGUAAACUGUAUGUACAGUAGAAUCUACUACAGUACUGUAGAAAUCAUCAAAACAUUAUCGAUGUGCAAUUCUGACUUAAGCCCUUUUUCCCAAACAUCAGAGAAUUGUAAUGUACAAUAAUUCUCCUAUCUGCUUUUUCAUGAAUUUUGUAGGAGACGAAAAACCAUUUUUAGGAUCAUCUGCUUUCACAUGUAAAUUUUGACAUGUUUUGUAGUAAAUAGAUAGUUGAAUUUACUACAAAACAUGUCAAAAAAUAUAUGAAAACAGGAGGUGACUAUAAAAAAAGUUUUUAGUCUCUCUUACAAGACUCAUGAAAAAACAAAUCGGAGGUAUGUCACAUCUGUGACUAUAUCCAGGGAAUGUCUAAAAAAUAUACUUUGAUGUCCCAAGAACCAAAUAUAACCUACAGUCCAUCUAAUUUACUUACUGUUGCACAUCAUUAUCUACGCCAGAGAUCUAAGUUGACAUAGUUGCCAAAGUAUAAAAAGAUCCUGAAUCCAUUUUAAAUCAAAUCUAUCACAUAAUUAUUGUAAACGUGGAUUAUACAACAAAACAAAUUAAUAUUCAAUGUAAAUAAGUAAAAACUUAAGAAAUAGAGAACAAGAAUUAAGUUAUAAUCUUUUAAGAUUUGCAGUGCAAGCGUUUUUGCACUGCAUUGUUAAUAAUUAAAAAACGGCUCCGAACUCUUGGCAAAAAGCCGGUAGGUUUCUUUGUAUAAGUAUGUCUACAAUAACAACUAAAAAAGUUGUCAGAUACCACGAUGAUUAUUCCAAGUCGUUAUAAAAUUAGGUGAAAUUUAUAUUUUUAUAGUAGAGGAUCUUUUUAUAGUAAAGUAAAUAAUAAAGACAGUAAAUAUAAUAAAUAAAACAGAUACUUAUAGUAAAGAAUAUAAACAAAUAUGAAGUGUCAUCACCACAACUGUCAAAUAAAUGUUACCAAUUUAUUCUAAAAUGUCACCUUCGUUCGAUUACAGUUACAGUGUGAUCCGAACAAAUCUGCUUCAUAAAAACGCUUUAUAAUCCAUUUAUACAAAUUAAAUGAAACAUAUUAUUGUGUAUUUCUUUAGGUUAACAUUAAUAGAAAUCUUCAAAUAUUAUUUCUACGCGUAUAUAAUAAAAUAUGUCUAGAGUCUGUAUUUCCAGUGUACUCAGCAAAGUGAUUCUAAAAAAGAACACACCUACCGCCUAAAUAUGUCGUGUUGGUAUCAUGCGACCUCACAGACUACGACGCGAAUGACGCACAACAGUUAGUAAAUUAGACGAAGUAUGUAGAUAUAUACAGGGUGUAACAAAAAUACAGGUCAUAAAUUUAAUCACAUAUUCUGGGACCAAAAAUAGUUUGAUUGGACCUAACUUACCUUAGUACAAAUGUGCACACAAGAAAAGUUGCAGCCCUUUGGCUGCAACUAUCUUACGAAAAAACUAUAGUAAAAUUUGGACACCCCAUAAAAAUUUUAUGGGGGUUUUGUUCCUUUAAACCCCCCCAAACUUUUGUGCACGUUUCAAUUUAAUUAUUAUUGUAGUACCAUUUAAACACAACGUUUUAAAAACUUUUUUGCCUCUUAUUGCUUUUUCGAAAAGUCAAUUUUUAUCGAAAUAUUUUGAAUAUUUGUCAAAUCCACCACAUAUUUGUAUAUGGUUAAGUACGAUUAUGGAGACUUGGUAAUAAUAUGCAGACUUAUUUAUGCUUUACAUUUUUAGGUAUAUUUUGAACCAUAUUAAAAAAGAAGCCAGAUCUCGAUAAAAUGUGCCUUAUCGAAAAAAUACAAAGAGGCAAAAAAGUUUUAAAAACAUUCUGUUUAACUAAUGGUACCUCAGUAAUAGUUUAAUUGGAACGUACACAAACAUUUGGGGGGUUUAAAGGAACAAAACCCCCAUAAAAUUUUUAUGUAGACAUGUUAAAAAAGAAGUCGCAACUCGAUAAAAACUGCCUUAUCUGAAAAAUACUAAGAAACAAAAAUAUUGAAUUUAACUAAUGGUACCUACCACAAUAAUAAAAUUGAAUUGGAACGUACACAAAAGUUUGGGAGGAUCUAAGGGAUCAAAACCCCCAUAAAAUUUUUAUGGGGUGCACAAAUUUCACCAUAAUUUUUGUUUAAGAUAUUCCUGCCAUAAUACUGCCACAUGUCCAUUUUCAAUAAAAAAUCGCUAAUAGUUUUCGAUAUAAUCGAAAAAACCGAUUUUCAUUUUGUAAUUUCAAAGGGCUGUAACUUUUUUUAUGUGCAUAUUUGUACUAAGGUAAGUUAGGUUCAUUCGAACUAUUUUUGGUCCCAGAAUAUGUGAUUUAAUUUAUGACCUGUAUUUUUGUUACACCCUGUAUAUACAGGCGAUUACGCACCACCUUAAAAAUUGGGCAUUUUUGAUGUCUCGAAUUUCCUAAACCUGUUGUUGCAUCUAAGUGAUUUUUUUAUAAUAUUCUAGCCUAGACCCUAGGCUAUAGGUUAAGUACCUCCUUAUGCUUGUCAUGCACGGGGAGCUAUACUGUAAUAUAUAUUAUAUCACAUCGCUCUCUAUAGUAAUGAGUGAGCCUGUACAUACGGAACCAUUUGUUUCCUGUCUGCAGGCUCACUCAUUACUAUAGAGAGCGAUAUGAUAUAAUGUACAUAUAUUACAGCAUAGCUCCCUGUGCGUGACAAGCUUAAGGAGGUAACCUAUAGCCUAGGCUAUAAUAUUAUAAAAAAAUCACUUAGAUGAAACAACAGGUUUAGGAAAUACGAGACAUCAAAAAUACCCCAUAUUUAAGGUGGUGCGUUAAUUUCUUGGAGAAGUGUAUUGUAAUUUAAUGUAAAUAAUGUAAUAUCCAAUAAUUGUAAUUUAAUAUAAGAUGUAAUAUAAGUUCCUUAAAAAAUAUAUUUUUUAUUUCCCACGACAUUAGAUGGAUGUUCGGCAGCAAGACAUUGGACCAAACUGGGACGUCCUAUGAAGGCCCAAUUGACGUCCACCGAACGUCCCUUCGGAUGUUAAGUGGACCUCCAUUGGACGUUUGGCAACGUGGCAUUUGGACCAAAAUUGGACGUCCUGUUAAUGUCCAAUUCACGUCCCCUAGGACGUCCGGUUAAGGUCCAAUUUACUUCCGAUUAAGGUCCAAUUUACGUCCGAUUAAGGUCCCAUUUACGUCCGAUUAAGGUCCAAUUUACGUCCUAUUAAGGUCCAAUUUACGUCC